rnacentral:rRNA from 1 species
CAUACGGGCGGCAGCAGUGGGGAAUAUUGGACAAUGGGCGAAAGCCUGAUCCAGCCAUGCCGCGUGUGUGAAGAAGGCCUUCGGGUUGUAAAGCACUUUCAGUGGGGAAGAAAGCCUUGGGGCUAAUACCCUCGAGGAAGGACAUCACCCACAGAAGAAGCACCGGCUAACUCCGUGCCAGCAGCCGCGGUAAUACGGAGGGUGCGAGCGUUAAUCGGAAUUACUGGGCGUAAAGCGCGCGUAGGCGGUCUGAUAAGCCGGUUGUGAAAGCCCCGGGCUCAACCUGGGAACGGCAUCCGGAACUGUCAGGCUAGAGUGCAGGAGAGGAAGGUAGAAUUCCCGGUGUAGCGGUGAAAUGCGUAGAGAUCGGGAGGAAUACCAGUGGCGAAGGCGGCCUUCUGGACUGACACUGACGCUGAGGUGCGAAAGCGUGGGUAGCAAACAGGAUUAGAUACCCCUGUAGUC